GUGCUCACUUAGGCAGCACAUAUACAAAACUUGGGGAUAUGGGGGAGAUUAGCACAGCCCCAACACAACCACUAACAUGAAAAUUCAUGAAGCAGUCCAUAAUUUU
rnacentral:snRNA from 1 species